CAUGCAGUCGAGCGAAUGGAUUAAGAGCUUGCUCUUAUGAAGUUAGCGGCGGACGGGUGAGUAACACGUGGGUAACCUGCCCAUAAGACUGGGAUAACUCCGGGAAACCGGGGCUAAUACCGGAUAACAUUUUGAACCGCAUGGUUCGAAAUUGAAAGGCGGCUUCGGCUGUCACUUAUGGAUGGACCCGCGUCGCAUUAGCUAGUUGGUGAGGUAACGGCUCACCAAGGCAACGAUGCGUAGCCGACCUGAGAGGGUGAUCGGCCACACUGGGACUGAGACACGGCCCAGACUCCUACGGGAGGCAGCAGUAGGGAAUCUUCCGCAAUGGACGAAAGUCUGACGGAGCAACGCCGCGUGAGUGAUGAAGGCUUUCGGGUCGUAAAACUCUGUUGUUAGGGAAGAACAAGUGCUAGUUGAAUAAGCUGGCACCUUGACGGUACCUAACCAGAAAGCCACGGCUAACUACGUGCCAGCAGCCGCGGUAAUACGUAGGUGGCAAGCGUUAUCCGGAAUUAUUGGGCGUAAAGCGCGCGCAGGUGGUUUCUUAAGUCUGAUGUGAAAGCCCACGGCUCAACCGUGGAGGGUCAUUGGAAACUGGGAGACUUGAGUGCAGAAGAGGAAAGUGGAAUUCCAUGUGUAGCGGUGAAAUGCGUAGAGAUAUGGAGGAACACCAGUGGCGAAUGCGACUUUCUGGUCUGUAACUGACACUGAGGCGCGAAAGCGUGGGGGAGCAAACAGGAUUAGAUACCCUGGUAGUCCACGCCGUAAACGAUGAGUGCUAAGUGUUAGAGGGUUUCCGCCCUUUAGUGCUG
rnacentral:rRNA from 1 species